AGGAACGAAAGCAUGGGUAGCGAAGAGGAUUAGAUACCCUCGUAGUCCAUGCCGUAAACGAUGUGUGUUAGACGUUGGAAAUUUAUUUUCAGUGUCGCAGGGAAACCGAUAAACACACCGCCUGGGGAGUACGACCGCAAGGUUAAAACUCAAAUGAAUUGACGGGGACCCGCACAAGUAGUGGAGCAUGUGGUUUAAUUCGAAGAUACGCGCAGAACCUUACCAACACUUGACAUGUUCGUCGCGACUCUAAGAGAUUAGAGUUUUCGGUUCGGCCGGACGAAACACAGGUGCUGCAUGGCUGUCGUCAGCUCGUGUCGUGAGAUGUUGGGUUAAGUCCCGCAACGAGCGCAACCCUCACUUUUAGUUGCCAUCAUUAAGUUGGGCACUCUGAAAGAACUGCCAGUGAUAAGCUGGAGGAAGGUGGGGAUGACGUCAAGUCCUCAUGGCCCUUAUGUGUUGGGCUACACACGUGCUACAAUGGCAUCUACAACAGGAAGCAAAACGGCAACGUUAAGCAAAUCCCGAAAAGAUGCCUCAGUUCGGAUUGCACUCUGCAACUCGAGUGCAUGAAGCUGGAAUUACUAGUAAUCGUGGAUCAGCGUGCCACGGUGAAUGCGUUCCCGGGUCUUGUACACACCGCCCGUCACACCAUGGGAGUUGGUUCUACCUUAAGGCAAGGUUUCAAACCCUUGACCACGGUAUAGUCAGCGACUGGGGUGAAGUCGUAACAAGGUAACCGUA
rnacentral:rRNA from 1 species